rnacentral:rRNA from 1 species
GACGAACGCUGGCGGCGUGCUUAACACAUGCAAGUCGAACGAAGAGCGAUGGAAGCUUGCUUCUAUCAAUCUUAGUGGCGAACGGGUGAGUAACGCGUAAUCAACCUGCCCUUCAGAGGGGGACAACAGUUGGAAACGACUGCUAAUACCGCAUACGAUCUAAUCUCGGCAUCGAGGAUAGAUGAAAGGUGGCCUCUACAUGUAAGCUAUCACUGAAGGAGGGGAUUGCGUCUGAUUAGCUAGUUGGAGGGGUAACGGCCCACCAAGGCGAUGAUCAGUAGCCGGUCUGAGAGGAUGAACGGCCACAUUGGGACUGAGACACGGCCCAGACUCCUACGGGAGGCAGCAGUGGGGAAUCUUCCGCAAUGGACGGAAGUCUGACGGAGCAACGCCGCGUGAGCGAUGACGGCCUUCGGGUUGGAAAGCUCUGUUAAUCGGGACGAAAGGCCUUCUUGCGAAUAGUGAGAAGGAUUGACGGUACCGGAAUAGAAAGCCACGGCUAACUACGUG